rnacentral:rRNA from 1 species
GCGAACGCUGGCGGCAGGCCUAACACAUGCAAGUCGAGCGGCCGUAGCAAUACGGCAGCGGCAGACGGGAUAGUAACACGUGGGAACGCGCCCUUCGGUUCGGAAUAACUCAGGGAAACUUGAGCUAAUACCGGAUACGCCCUUACGGGGAAAGAUUUAUUGCCGUAGGAACGGCCCGCGUCCGAUUAGCUAGUUGGUGAGGUAAUGGCUCACCAAGGCGACGAUCGGUAGCUGGUCUGAGAGGAUGACCAGCCUCACUGGGACUGAGACACGGCCCAGACUCCUACGGGAGGCAGCAGUGGGGAAUAUUGGACAAUGGGCGCAAGCCUGAUCCAGCCAUGCCGCGUGGGUGAUGAAGGCCUUAGGGUUGUAAAGCCCUUUUAGCAGGGAAGAUAAUGACGGUACCUGCAGAAAAAGCCCCGGCUAACUUCGU